CAAAGAGGGGGGAAAUGUGGAAAACUAAGACUUCAUCAAAGGACAGUGACGAACUGUAUGAAAUGAGAUUUUCUUCCCUGCUUGCGCUGUGCCUAAGAAACAAGUUUUCACUUGGAAAUGCUGACUCCUCCCACAAAGUAAUGCUACUUCUAUUUUCUCUCUGGUUAAUUGCUCAGGUCCCUAGGAGGGAAUGGAGCAAUGCUGUAAGCACAGAUGUUGUGUCUGCUAAUCCCCAAUCACCCAAGAACUACUGGAUUUUCCUGUCUCUUAUGCAGGUAGACCACCUAAUCCCCUGGAGAUCCCAAUCAGCGUGGACAAAGAGUUGUAGGUACUACGAAAUACGCUUGGCACACGGGGGAUUUACUGCUGGGAGAUGAUUAACAUUCUUGAGUGAAAGGGGAGAGUGAAAAAUGCAGCUUUCACCUUUUCCUUUGGCAAGUCAGGAGCCAGUCUCGAGCGUGACUUCUUCCAUUUGAGCUGUCCUUCACCCAGCGAGCGAGGUGAUGGCCUCUGGAAGCUCAGAGCCUGUUUGCUCAGGGCACAGCGGAUCAGUUUCUUGUUGGAUGACCGCAUGGGCAACGUGGUGAGCGCUGGUGAGAUCUGACACUUUUCAGCAUGUGGUGAUGGCUGUAGGCACCUGGAGCCAAAUGGAUCCAUCAAGUUAAUCUCUCAAUUUCUAGCAAGGUGAACUCGGUCCAUAGAUCUUCAUCAACAUUUAUUGCAUGUCCUAAGCUCCCUGGCACUUUCAGGGCUCCUAAAUACACAAGCUCUGUGCCAAUUUAUCUGACAUGUGAAAGCAGCAAGUAAUUGCCAAAUGGGUGGCUGUUAAAAGUACUCCCAUUGCAUAGUAGUUAAUGGGGAAUUGCUCAUCUUCUGGAUGGAAGAGCCUGACCUGUUUUCUUCUUGGGAUAUCCCAGAAAACCUAUGGCUAAAAAGGCCAAGGUAGCUGUCCUGAGAAAUUGUAAAACAGAAAUCUGGGAAUUAAACUUCCAUUUGCUGGGCAUGGUAUCCAUAGGUCAUGAGUUUGUUAAGAACUGCAAGAGUACAUUGUGGGGAAAAAAUACUGGAUUUUUUGGCAUGCCAAGGCAAUUUCUGCUUUUAUUAAAUAUAAUAGGUGUCAUUGGAAGCAUAUGCGUUUGUGUCACAAUACAAUCCACACAAAUUAACCUGCAAAUAGCAAAACAAAGUGUUCCCAAGCGCUGGGCAUACGCAUCACCCCUGAUAAUUACACACUGCAGAGCACCACAGAUUCUGGCCCACUGCCAUUUUCUGGGAGGAGGUGAGAAACACUGCCCAGCGUGAGACCAUCUGCCGGCACACCAGCCAUCGCCUCAACAUCUCUGUGGCUGCAGUGCAUGUGUUUUUGUGAAUGCCCAGCACUGGUUGCGAGGACAACUCUUGGAAGAAGACUUCCUGAGAAAAUGUGAAUGGUCACAAAUCACAAGUUUCCAGUUUAAAAAAUGUUCUCCAAUAUUUUCAUGUAAUCCUUGAUUUUUAUGAGUCCCAGGAUGUAUCCAGAGAGAAAACACAAUUGGGAAAGUCACGGUCAUUUUAAUAUAUAUGUAAAUAGGAGGAUGGUGGCAUGACAUGGUCGUUAUUAAUUUUUAGCAAUACUCUUCAA